ACCUGGCUGGCUCAGUUUGUGGAGCGUGUGACUCUUGGUCUCAGGGUUGUGGGUUCGAUCCCCACACUGGGUG
rnacentral:tRNA from 1 species